rnacentral:rRNA from 1 species
GACGAACGCUGGCGGCGUGCUUAACACAUGCAAGUCGAACGGAAAGGCCCUGCUUUUGUGGGGUGCUCGAGUGGCGAACGGGUGAGUAACACGUGAGUAACCUGCCCUUGACUUUGGGAUAACUUCAGGAAACUGGGGCUAAUACCGGAUAGGAGCUCCUGCUGCAUGGUGGGGGUUGGAAAGUUUCGGCGGUUGGGGAUGGACUCGCGGCUUAUCAGCUUGUUGGUGGGGUAGUGGCUUACCAAGGCUUUGACGGGUAGCCGGCCUGAGAGGGUGACCGGCCACAAUGGGACUGAGAUACGGCCCAGACGCCUACGGGGGGCAGCAGUGGGGAAUAUUGCCCAAUGGGCGGAAGCCUGAUGCAACAACGCCGCGUGCGGGAUGACGGCCUUCGGGUUGUAAACCGCUUUCGCCUGUGACGAAGCGGGAGUGACGGUAAUGGGUAAAGAAGCACCGGCUAACUACGUG